AUUAAUAGACAGAAAGUAUUCUCUUUCCAAACUGAGAAUAGGGUUUAGCUCAUAUGCCUCAGUGGGAUACAUGGGUGUUUGAGGACCUGGGAGGGGGGCAGCUAAUUUGCUGGCAAGGUGAAAACUAGAAAUCAAUAAUCGGCCCUGAUUCCCAGCACCUGACUGAAAGGUCUUUUAGGAAGCCACAGAGAUAGCUGGUUGCCUGGAGGGGGCAGGAAGGUCUUGGUGCCUAGUUUACAAGAGGGCUUAUUCACUUGUUUGUGUUGGAUAAGUGAAUUCGGUGCUUGUGGAAGAUGCCAGAUGGGCUGCAUGGGAGCCAGGAAGUCUCUGUCUCUCCACCAAGCAACAGCAGCGUGUGCUUCCCAAACUGAGCUGCCAAAGUGCCUUAGACCUGAGCUAUAGAUUACCACACUCCAGAGACAGCUGUUGUAACUGGAAACAGCCACUCUUUUGUGCUAACCUGAAGUAUCUGAGAAGUUUCACACCCAAAAGGAAAAACACCCUCUGCCAUCACAGCCCUCAACCAGACUGCUGUUCUAAGGGAUGUUGAAACCCUAUCUCUGGUCCACGAGUAAGAAUAAUGCCUCCUGCUGUAUUGCAUUCUGUGGAGCUAAGAUGGAUUUGCAAAAAUAAAGAUUCCAAUGUUUUCUGACACCAUCUCACUCCCUGGCAUGGGAAGGAUGAAUGGAACAGAAGCUCACAUUACUGAUUUUCACAGCAUUGCAGACCUGAGCUGCUAGCAGGGAAGCCAAUGUAUGAGAAACUGAGGAGUGUGUGUUUUAGGAAGAAACCAUCUGGAUCUCUUAGACAGCUCAGUAUGUAAUUCUGUUAAUACUAUAGAGUCUUUUAAUGCCACUUUCUGUAAUAAUGCAUCAGAGCUAAGAGAUUGUGGUUAGUUAUGGGUGUGCUAUAGCUAUUUUUCUUCAGAGCUGUAUCCUUAAUGGCAUUUUUACACAAUAUUUUCUUGUCUUUUGCAAGCUAAGCUGUUUUUGCUACGUGCACACAGCCUUUCGGGGCAUGGUGCGGGUGGCUGUAAUGCAGUGGGUGCUGAAAUUGGGUGGGGGGCCUGCAGCACUCCUCAGCCUCCAGCAGCUCCCAUGGGCAGGGCUGGCUGUAGUGCUGUGGGCGCUCAUCCAGAGGGAAGGGGCAGCGCUGCCAUGUGCCCCAAAACCCUGGGAAAGGGGAGGAUGUGUUCAGGGCCCUCUCACAUUUCACCAGAAAAUUUUCGCCUUUAUUGAAAGCUAAAUGCUGAAGUGGGAUUCAGGAAUUAAUAUUUCAGUAUCAAGAUAAUUUUUUUUCUCUUGCUCUCAUAAAAUAUUUCUGUCCCUAUGCACCCACUGCACCUUACUGGACCACACCACUCUAGGACAGAGUCUAAAUCUCCUGUUUGUAAGUAUGAAUGCCUGCCAUGUGAAUACAAAAAAAUAUA